UAAGGAACAAAAUGCUGAGUAACAACAUGAAGUCAGAGUGUUGCUUGCCAAGAGCUGGGAGGCCUGGGUGGUUUCCCAAUCUUAAAGAAGCAGAAGGAUAUUAAAGUGAGCCUCCCAAAGGAAAACGUGGAUCUACUUACCAACGCAGAAAAUGAUACACACGGAUUCGAUUUAGGCUGGAGUACAGUAACUGCAACCUCCGCCUCCCAGGUUCCGGUGAUUCUCAUGGCUCAGUCUCCCAAGGAGCUGGGAUUACAGGCACGCUACAUUCAAAUGACUUGGAAGAGCAGUUUCUCUGAGCCAGGAUACUAAAGUCCGUGUUUAGGAAAGAGCCACAUUGUAUGUUUACCCUACCACAAAGAUACAGUCAUGUGCCUGGGAAAGAUUGAUGCCAGCUCCAGAAAGGCAUCUGAAUGGUCUAAGUAAUGCCAUCCAUCUGUCAGUAAUAGAUUCAGAAAUGGGUAUGUGAUUCAAGUCUGGCCAAUGAGAUGUAUGCAGAAGAGUGCUGGGUAUUCUGGAAAAUUAUCCCUUGUCAUUCAGAGAUCCACAGGAAUCCAGCCUUUUGCUCCUUGAAUGGGAUAAGGAAGCACAUAA
rnacentral:lncRNA from 1 species